rnacentral:rRNA from 1 species
GACAGAGGGUGCAAACGUUGCUCGGAAUCACUGGGCGUAAAGGGCGCGUAGGCGGUUCGUUAAGUCCUGUGUGAAAUCCCCCGGCUCAACUGGGGAACUGCACAGGAAACUAGCGGGCUUGAGUUCGGGAGAGGGAAGCGGAAUUCCGGGUGUAGCGGUGAAAUGCGUAGAUAUCAGGAGGAACACCAAUGGCGAAGGCAGCACUCUGGGACGUGACUGACGCUGAGACGCGAAAGCGUGGGGAGCAAACAGG